rnacentral:rRNA from 1 species
AGUGAACGCUGGCGGUAGGCCUAACACAUGCAAGUCGAACGGCAGCACAGUAAGAGCUUGCUCUUACGGGUGGCGAGUGGCGGACGGGUGAGGAAUACAUCGGAAUCUACUUUUUCGUGGGGGAUAACGUAGGGAAACUUACGCUAAUACCGCAUACGACCUACGGGUGAAAGCAGGGGAUCUUCGGACCUUGCGCGAUUGAAUGAGCCGAUGUCGGAUUAGCUAGUUGGCGGGGUAAGGCCCACCCAGGCGACGAUCCGUAGCUGGUCUGAGAGGAUGAUCAGCCACACUGGAACUGAGACACGGUCCAGACUCCUACGGGAGGCAGCAGUGGGGAAUAUUGGACAAUGGGCGCAAGCCUGAUCCAGCCAUACCGCGUGGGUGAAGAAGGCCUUCGGGUUGUAAAGCCCUUUUGUUGGGAAAGAAAAGCAGCAGGUUAAUACCCCGCUGUUCUGACGGUACCCAAAGAAUAAGCACCGGCUAACUUCGUG